GGGCCCGUAGCUCAGCCAGGAUAGAGCGGCACCGUCCUAAGGUGAAGGUCGUGGGUUCAAAUCCCAUCGGGUCCG
rnacentral:tRNA from 1 species